GGGAGGUAGUGACAAUAAAUAACAAUACGGGGUUCUUUCGGAUUUCGUAAUUGGAAUGAGUACAAUUUAAAUCUCUUAACGAGGAACAAUUGGAGGGCAAGUCUGGUGCCAGCAGCCGCGGUAAUUCCAGCUCCAAUAGCGUAUAUUAAAGUUGUUGCAGUUAAAAAGCUCGUAGUUGAAUUUCGAGAUCAAAUUGUUGGUCGUGCCUCGGUACGUACUGGCAUUAUUGAUUUCUCCCUUCUGACGAUCCGCGAUGUCAUUAAUUUGGUGUCGUGGGGAAUCAGGACUGUUACUUUGAAAAAUUAGAGUGUUUAAAGCAGGCUUACGCUUGAAUACAUUAGCAUGGAAUAAUGAAAUAGGACGGCAUGAUUCUAUUUUGUUGGUUUCUAGGAUCACCGUAAUGAUUAAUAGGGAUAGUUGGG
rnacentral:rRNA from 1 species